rnacentral:rRNA from 1 species
AUGCAAGUCGAACGAGCUUCCGUUGAAUGACGUGCUUGCACUGAUUUCAACAAUGAAGCGAGUGGCGAACUGGUGAGUAACACGUGGGAAAUCUGCCCAGAAGCAGGGGAUAACACUUGGAAACAGGUGCUAAUACCGUAUAACAACAAAAUCCGCAUGGAUUUUGUUUGAAAGGUGGCUUCGGCUAUCACUUCUGGAUGAUCCCGCGGCGUAUUAGUUAGUUGGUGAGGUAAAGGCCCACCAAGACGAUGAUACGUAGCCGACCUGAGAGGGUAAUCGGCCACAUUGGGACUGAGACACGGCCCAAACUCCUACGGGAGGCAGCAGUAGGGAAUCUUCCACAAUGGACGAAAGUCUGAUGGAGCAAUGCCGCGUGAGUGAAGAAGGGUUUCGGCUCGUAAAACUCUGUUGUUAAAGAAGAACACCUUUGAGAGUAACUGUUCAAGGGUUGACGGUAUUUAACCAGAAAGCCACGGCUAACUACGUGCCAGCAGCCGCGGUAAUACGUAGGUGGCAAGCGUUGUCCGGAUUUAUUGGGCGUAAAGCGAGCGCAGGCGGUUUUUUAAGUCUGAUGUGAAAGCCUUCGGCUUAACCGGAGAAGUGCAUCGGAAACUGGGAGACUUGAGUGCAGAAGAGGACAGUGGAACUCCAUGUGUAGCGGUGGAAUGCGUAGAUAUAUGGAAGAACACCAGUGGCGAAGGCGGCUGUCUAGUCUGUAACUGACGCUGAGGCUCGAAAGCAUGGGUAGCGAACAGGAUUAGAUACCCUGGUAGUCCAUGCCGUAAACGAUGAGUGCUAAGUGUUGGAGGGUUUCCACCCUUCAGUGCUGCAGCUAACGCAUUAAGCACUCCGCCUGGGGAGUACGACCGCAAGGUUGAAACUCAAAGGAAUUGACGGGGGCCCGCACAAGCGGUGGAGCAUGUGGUUUAAUUCGAAGCUACGCGAAGAACCUUACCAGGUCUUGACAUCUUCUGCCAAUCUUAGAGAUAAGACGUUCCCUUCGGGACAGAAUGACAGGUGGUGCAUGGUUGUCGUCAGCUCGUGUCGUGAGAUGUUGGGUUAAGUCCCGCAACGAGCGCAACCCUUAUUAUCAGUUGCCAGCAUUCAGUU